rnacentral:Y_RNA from 1 species
GGUUGGUCCAAGUACAGUGGUGUUUACAACAAAUUGAUCACAACCAGUUACAGAUUCCUUUGUUCCUUCUCCACUCCCACUGCUUCACUUGACCAGACUUAA